rnacentral:lncRNA from 1 species
UAUUAAAAUAAAAACCUUAAUUAAAUCUUAAUUAUAACCUAAUCAAAUUCUAAUCAAAUCUUAAUCAAAUCCUAAAUAAUUUUUAGUCAAAUCUUAAAAAAUCCUAAUCAAAAUCUAAUCAAAUCCUAAAAAAAUCUUAACCAAAUUCUAAAUAAAUCGUAGUCAAAUCCUAACAAAUCCUAACCAAAUCUUAAACAAAUCCUAAACUAAUCCUAAACAAAUCUUAAUCAAGUCUUAAAUAAAUCGGAAUCAAAUCCUAACUAAAUCCUAACUAAACCUUAAAUAAAUCCUAAACAAACUUUAACCAAAUCCUAAUCAAACUCUAACAAAAUCCUAAAUAAUUCCAAGUAAUUUCUAUAGUAGAUUUAAACCUCAAUAACUAAUGAAUGAACCAUUGAUUUUAAGUCAAAUUUUGCAUACUUCUUUAUAAUAAAAUUAACAACAAGCAU